rnacentral:rRNA from 1 species
CCAUGCAUGUCUAUGCACACGCCCUUGAUUGGUGAAGCCGCGAAAAGCUCAUUACAACAGCCAUAGUUUAUUGGAUCUUUACGUUCCUACAAGGAUAUCUGCGGUAAUUCUGGAGCUAAUACUUGCGAAAAACGGCGACCUUACGGAAGUCGUGCAUUUGUUAGACUAAACCAAUCGGUCCUUCGGGACCGUCAUUUGGUGAACUCUGAAUAACUCAGCUGAUCGCACAGUCUCGUACUGGCGACAAAUCCUUCAAGUGUCUGCCUUAUCAACUGUCGAUGGUAGUUUACACGACUACCAUGGUUGUAACGGGUAACGGAGAAUAAGGGUUCGACUCCGGAGAGGGAGCCUGAGAAACGGCUACCACAUCCAAGGAAGGCAGCAGGCGCGCAAAUUACCCACUCUCAGAACGAGGAGGUAGUGACGAAAAAUAACGAGGUGGCCCUCUUUGAGGUCCAUCAUCGGAAUGGGUACAAUUUAAAUCCUUUAACGAGGAUCUAUUGGAGGGCAAGUCUGGUGCCAGCAGCCGCGGUAAUUCCAGCUCCAAUAGCGUAUACUAAAGUUGUUGCGGUUAAAAAGCUCGUAGUUGGAUCUGCGCCAGGUGGAAGCGGUCGCCCGAUGGGUUGUUACUGCUUACCUCUGGCUAACCAUUCGGUUUUCCCUUGAUGCUCUUAAGUGAGUGUCCUGGGUGACCGGAACGUUUACUUUGAAAAAAUUAGAGUGCUCAAAGCAGGCAUUUCGCCCGAAUAUUCGUGCAUGGAAUAAUAAAAGAGGUCCUUGUAGCCUUUUAUUGGUUAUCGCUACGAGGAAAUGAUCGAAGGGGACAGACGGGGGCAUUUGUAUUGCGACGUUAGAGGUGAAAUUCUUGGAUCGUCGCAAGACAAACUACUGCGAAAGCUCGUGCCAAGAAUGUUUUCAUCAAUCAAGAACGAAAGUCUGAGGUUCGACGGCGAUCAGAUACCGCCCUAGUUCAGACCGUAAACGAUGCCAUCUGGCGAUCCGCCGGCGUUAUGUUUGACCCGGCGGGCAGCCACCGGUAAACCUUUAAGUUGGGUUCCGGGGGAAGUAUGGUUGCAAAGCUGAAACUUAAAGGAAUUGACGGAAGGGCACCACCAGGAGUGGAGCCUGCGGCUUAAUUUGACUCAACACGGGGAAACUCACCCGGCCCGGACACCGUAAGGAUUGACAGAUUGAGAGCUCUUUCUUGAUUCGGUGGGUGGUGGUGCAUGGCCGUUCUUAGUUGGUGGAGCGAUUUGUCUGGUUUAUUCCGAUAACGAACGAGACUCUAGCCUACUAAAUAGACACUGGUUCUUUGGACCGGUGAACUUCUUAGAGGGACAAGCGACGUUUAGUCGCACGAGAUUGAGCAAUAACAGGUCUGUGAUGCCCUUAGAUGUCCGGGGCUGCACGCGCGCUACACUGAAGGCAUCAUCAUGUUUCUUUUCCUACCCCGGAAGGGGCGGGUAACCCGAUGAAACGCCUUCGUGAUUGGGAUAGGGACUUGCAAUUAUUUCCCUUGAACGAGGAAUUCCUAGUAAGUGCGAGUCAUCAGCUCGCGCUGAUUACGUCCCUGCCCUUUGUACACACCGCCCGUCGCUACUACCGAUUGAGUGACUCCUAAAGGAGUUGGGACUGGCCCUGUGCGGCCGCAAGGUUGCGCAGGUUGCUGGAAACUUUUCCAAUGGGAUUUACUUAGAGGAAGUAAAAGUCGUAACAAGGUUUCCGUAGGUGAACCUGCGGAAGGAUCAUUACCUAUCGACUCACGUCGGUCCUUGGGCUGAGUCCGGCCCACUUGUGGAGAACUUCGCCCUGCGAGGGUCUCUGCCGGACGAGGCUAACGGGACCGCUCUCGUGGAAGAGCGGUGACCGAAACGUGUUCUUCACACCCGCAAGCACCGCCCGCUAGCCCGACUCUUCCUUGCUAGCAUGACUCCGCGGUGGUAACUUGCAUGACUGGUGGAGAGCUCGUGGAGGUUGCCGCGCCCGGCCCUUCGAGUGGAUGUGACCCACUCAUGUUUCUAAGGGCUGGACUUUCGCAUUGCGGUCUCUCCAAUGGGUGCUCUCGUGGGUACCUGUACUACUGUGUGGUCCUCGCGGUCCCCCCCUACCGCGCCAAUUCGGGACUCAGUAGUGAACCACCAGCUCUGGUCUGCCUUGUGGCGACGUAGCAUGACUCUAGUAGACACCCCUUGCAAGCUGCCCGCCUCAUGACUCUGGGUUGAGCCUCUCCGCGAGGCUGUAGCCCCCGAGGCCCGACUCUGCGCUUGCGAGGAAGGACUGCGCCCCGCUACGCCGGCAUGACUCUGGCGGACUAGAGAGAGGGACUGCCCGUCUCUUGCCUUAUGACUCUAGGACACUAUGUGUCUAGCAAUUGCCCGCCGGCCCGACUCUACUCGGGUUGCCCUUAGAAUCCGUUAGGCGCCCGCAAGCAUCGCCCGCUAGCCCGACUCUACCUUGCUAGCAUGACUCCGCGAUGUUCACUUGCAUGACUGGCCUAGUGGUUUCAAAGGGGUAACUCGUUUAGCCGGCAUGUUUCGCUUGCUAGACAUUUGUAUCCGCCCCAAGGCAAGUGGCAUGACUCUUUGCGUUCUUCUCUCUGGCCUGCCGCCCGUCGGUUCAGUGCGCCACAAGGUUCAGUGGCUGGUGGAAGGUUCAAUGAACUGCCCGUCGGAAGGUUUACCUUCCGGUACCCGUAAGCUAGUGUGACCACACUAGCGGAAGCGGCUUCGAGAUCCUGCCCUCGUGGCUGGGUUGCUCGGCCGCAGGUAGCUGAAAACUCUCGGCCCCGCUUCGAUCUUGCCGUUUCUCUUGACAAAACCACCCGCAAGCCCCCCCCGCUAGCCCGACUUUUCCCUGCUAGCAUGACUCCCCGGUGUUAACUUGCAUGUUUUUGGCCUAGUCGAGUCCCUGAGAGCGAAGCAUGACUUUACGAGAGCUGAAAGUUGCUUGCGGCCCGUUAUGGGCAGCCCAGUUUACCACGCCGACUCUAUGCAGGUCUCGCGUUUCUUUAAGCCGUGAGGGUAGUCACACCGCGCAGCCUGGCUGCCGGGGCGGUCGCCCACACUCCAUUU